CAAACUGCGCAUGUGUGAGCAUGCGCAGUUCGGCUGGGAGCCGGGAUUGCUACAAACGAAGAUCGCACCAGCGAUCCAACGGCCACGCUUGAUGCGGCGUCCCAGAAAACCAGAUCUGAGGAUACUGUACAAUGAACAAUCAAAACAUGAAAAAGCAUGAAUGACAACACAGCUGGUUAAAGUGAGAAGAUCUGAACACAGAAGCUACACCAGACAGCAAAGAUUGUGAGCUCCACUUGUGAAGCACUACAUGUCCUUGGAACAUACAGACAAGGACCUUCUGGGUCAUAGAAAAGCUGCAAGUGUACUCUUCACAACAAAUUCGGUUUUUGAAGAAAAGGGAGUCUUUCUGGAUCUUCAUGUUGGAUGCUCUGGUGCCAAGAGGUUUGAAUGAAGAAAUUGAUUGGCUGUCUGUCUGACGGACUUGGCUGCUUUUUGGACUGAGGGGCAAAUGAAACAUUUUACAUCUUGAUGAGCUGCCCAUGUUGCAUCUCAAGAAUAUUUGACACCACUUACUCCAAGAGUCAACAUCUCGGUGUAAGGACUAGAUGGCUUUCUCACAACAGAUUUCCAUCCACCUGCCAUAGCUACCUCCAGUCAUCCAAAGACACAUCAUCAAAUGGGGAAAAGAAAUCAGCAUCAGAGUUCUGAGGUGUAUGAGACUGGCAAGGGUAAUUUAUCCGGCUACGGCAUCGUCUCCCGACUCCCAUGGAGGAAAACAACAAAAAAAGCACAGUUUCUGACAUUUGGUUUGAAAAUAGAAUAUAAUCUACAGAUGUCAUUGAAGCAAUUUUCAAAGACAGAUCUUAUGCUAAAUAAUAUUCCGAAGACCAUUAAGACAGCAGUCUUAAUUAGCUUGUCCGGCCACAGUGAGGAUUUCAGAAAGGGCUCCUAAGUGUUUCUACGGCUCUAUCACAAGCAAUUUACUUCGAGAGGAAUGAAUCAGAUGUCAGCAUCUCCCCCCCCCCCAGAGCCAUCUUGCAGUUCCUGUGCAUUUGUUCAUCACACGUAUUUAAUGGCCAUAUGGGUACUGUCAAUUGCUUCUGUAAUGCUAGGAAAUCAAGCAAUCCAAACAGAUCAUUUCCACUGGACGCAGGUGCUGCCUCUUUAAAGGGAAAGAUGUACUGGGAUGUUUCCUUAAUUAAAGCCUCAAAUCCUUCAUUUAGAAAGAGCAAAACACAAAUUUCUGAGGGUUAGCAUCCGGGAGGUGAGCGGCCUGGAUGUUCCACGCUGCUGUUAUUUGUAUGCUGCUGUGCUCUGUGCAACUUUGGAAAUCCAAGUAGAUUGGCACGGUGGUCAGGAGCGCCUUCUGUCAGCUGCAUCUGAUUCACCAACUUUCUCAUACCUAGACUCAGCCUAUCUGGUCACGCUGAUCCAUGCUUCUGUACCCGCAAGGCUGGACUACUGCAAUGCAAUCUACAUGGGCCUGCCAUUGAAGACAACCCGACAACUAUAACUGAUCCAAGAUGCAGCAGCCCAACUAUUGUCAGGAACAGAUUAUACCUGUUUGAAAUAGCUAUAAUGGCCACCAGUCUGUCUCCAAGGUCACUUCAAUGUGCUGAUUACCUGUACAGACCCCCACAAUCUGGGACCCACAUAUUUGGAGGACCGUCUCCUUCCAUAUGCCAGUUACAGUCAUCACGCAGCCAUCUGUUGGCUAUGCCACCACUUAGGGUGGCCCGUCUGACAUCGACUA